CGUAGCCCCCUCCCGCCCGGUCAGCCCCGAAGAGUUGCCCGGUGGCCGCGGCAGACGGAAGCCGAGCGAGAACCUCGGCGGCGGCAGGAUGGGGGACUCCAAAGUGAAAGUGGCCGUCCGGAUCCGGCCCAUGAACCGAAGAGAAAUUGACUUGCAUACCAAAUGUGUGGUGGAUGUAGAUGCAAACAAGGUUAUUCUCAAUCCUGUAAAUACCAAUCUUUCCAAAGGAGAUGCCCGAAGCCAGCCAAAGGUAUUUGCAUAUGAUCAUUGUUUCUGGUCUAUGGAUGAAUCUGUCAGAGAAAAGUAUGCAGGUCAAGAUGAUGUUUUCAAGUGCCUUGGGGAGAAUAUCCUUCAGAAUGCUUUUGAUGGCUACAAUGCAUGUAUCUUUGCCUAUGGACAGACUGGAUCUGGAAAAUCUUACACCAUGAUGGGCACAGCUGACCAACCUGGAUUAAUCCCAAGACUUUGCAGUGGACUCUUUGAACGAACCCAGAAAGAGGAAAACGAAGAGCAGAGUUUUAAAGUAGAAGUGUCCUAUAUGGAAAUUUACAAUGAAAAAGUUAGAGACCUUCUUGAUCCCAAAGGAAGCCGUCAAACGUUAAGAGUCAGAGAGCACAGUGUGUUGGGACCCUAUGUCGAUGGACUUUCUAAACUGGCUGUCACAGGCUACAAGGAUAUUGAAUCUUUGAUGUCUGAAGGUAACAAAUCUCGUACAGUUGCUGCAACCAACAUGAAUGAGGAGAGCAGCCGAUCACAUGCAGUCUUCAAAAUCACCCUCACACACACUUUAUAUGAUGUGAAGUCUGGGACAUCUGGAGAGAAAGUGGGCAAGCUGAGCUUGGUUGAUUUAGCCGGCAGCGAGCGAGCGACGAAAACGGGAGCGGCAGGUGACAGGCUGAAGGAGGGCAGCAACAUCAACAAGUCCCUCACAACCCUCGGUCUGGUUAUCUCAGCCCUAGCAGAUCAGGGUGCUGGCAAAAACAAGAAUAAAUUUGUUCCAUAUCGUGACUCAGUUCUCACUUGGCUGCUCAAAGACAGUCUUGGGGGUAACAGCAAGACAGCCAUGGUAGCUACUGUGAGUCCGGCCGCUGACAACUAUGACGAAACCCUUUCAACCCUGCGGUAUGCAGAUCGUGCCAAGAACAUCGUGAACCACGCUGUGGUGAAUGAGGAUCCCAAUGCACGGAUUAUCCGGGACCUCCGAGAAGAAGUAGAAAAACUCCGAGAGCAGCUAACCAAAGCAGAGGCAAUGAAAUCUCCAGAGCUGAAAGACCGGCUGGAAGAAUCAGAGAAGCUAAUCCAGGAAAUGACUGUGACCUGGGAGGAGAAAUUAAGGAAAACCGAGGAGAUUGCCCAGGAGCGGCAGAAACAGCUUGAGAGUCUUGGAAUAUCUCUUCAAUCUUCUGGAAUUAAAGUUGGGGAUGAUAAAUGUUUCCUCGUUAAUCUCAACGCUGAUCCUGCUCUGAAUGAACUUCUGGUUUACUACUUAAAGGAACAUACACUGAUAGGUUCAGCAAAUUCCCAAGAUAUCCAACUAUGUGGAAUGGGAAUUCUUCCUGAACAUUGUAUCAUAGACAUCACAUCAGAAGGCCAGGUUAUGCUGACUCCUCAAAAGAACACCAGAACAUUUGUAAAUGGCUCCUCUGUAUCCAGUCCUAUUCAGCUACACCAUGGGGACAGGAUAUUAUGGGGGAACAACCACUUCUUCAGACUUAAUUUGCCUAAAAAGAAAAAGAAAGCAGGUGGAGAAGAUGAGGAACAAGACACGUCCAUGAAGAAUGACACCAGUUCUGAGCAGCUGGAUGUGGAUGGAGACUCAUCCAGUGAGGUGUCCAGCGAAAUCAACUUCAAUUACGAGUACGCGCAGAUGGAGGUAACCAUGAAGGCUCUGGGCAGUAACGAUCCCAUGCAGUCAAUACUGAACAGCCUAGAACAACAGCACGAAGAGGAGAAACGGUCUGCAUUGGAGCGCCAGAGGCUCAUGUACGAACAUGAACUGGAGCAGCUCCGGAGACGGCUGUCUCCUGAGAAACAGAACUGCCGUAGUUCGGACAAGUUUUCCUUCCACUCACCCAGCGCUCAGCAGCGAUUGAGGCAGUGGGCGGAAGAGAGAGAAGCAACACUGAAUAACAGCCUGAUGAGGCUGAGGGAACAAAUCGUUAAGGCCAAUCUGUUGGUGAGAGAAGCUAGUUACAUUGCGGAAGAACUGGAUAAACGGACAGAGUAUAAAGUAACCCUACAGAUUCCAGCUUCCAGCCUCGAUGCCAACAGGAAGCGAGGCUCUCUCCUUAGUGAACCUGCCAUCCAGGUGAGAAGAAAAGGAAAAGGGAAGCAGAUUUGGUCUUUGGAAAAACUGGACAACAGGUUAUUGGAUAUGAGAGAUCUUUAUCAGGAGUGGAAGGAGUGUGAAGAAGAUACCCCAGUGAUACGGUCUUACUUCAAGCGUGCAGAUCCGUUCUAUGAUGAGCAGGAAAAUCACAGUCUCAUUGGGAUGGCUAAUGUCUUCCUUGAGUCCCUCUUCUAUGAUGUGAAGUUACAAUAUGCUGUUCCAAUCAUCAACCAGAAAGGAGAGGUGGCAGGCCGGCUGCACGUAGAGGUGAUGCGCAUUAGUGGUGACAUCGGGGAGAGAAUUGCGGGGGGUGAUGAUGCUGCAGAUGCGUCCUUUGAUAAGGAGACCCAGGAGAACAAACUCGUGUGCAUGGUUAAAAUACUUCAAGCCACCGGCUUGCCACAGCAUCUGUCCCACUUUGUAUUCUGCAAAUACAACUUCUGGGAUCAACAGGAGCCGGUAAUUGUUGCACCCGAGGUGGAUACCUCAUCCUCUCCUGUCAGCAAGGAACCUCAGUGCAUGGUUGUCUUUGAUCAAUGCAAUGAAUUUUCUGUUGGCAUCACUGAAGACUUUAUCGAACAUCUUUCAGAAGGGGCUUUGGCAAUUGAAGUCUAUGGCCAUAAGAUGAAUGAUCCUCGGAAAAACCCAACCCUGUGGGAUUUGGGGAUUAUCCAAGCAAAAACACGCAGCCUUCGGGACAGAUGGAGCGAAGUCACCAGGAAAGUGGAAUUCUGGGUUCAAAUCUUGGAACAGAAUGAGAAUGGUGAAUACUGCCCUGUAGAGGUAAUUCCUGCAAAGGACGUGCCAACAGGUGGAAUCUUCCAACUCCGGCAGGGGCAGUCCCGGCGAGUCCAAGUGGAAGUGAAGUCUGUGCAGGAGUCUGGGACUUUACCGCUGAUGGAAGAAUGUAUAUUGUCUGUUGGCAUUGGAUGUGUAAAAGUCAGGGCGCCGAGAUCGGCCAAGACGCAUGAAACCAUCCAUGAGGAAGAGGAGGACAUGGACAGUUACCAGGAUCGGGAUUUAGAGAGACUACGUAGAAAAUGGCUAAAUGUGUUAACAAAGCGUCAGGAGUACUUAGAUCAACAACUGCAAAAGCUUGUCAGUAAACAUGAUAAAACAGAGGAUGAUGCUGACCGUGAAGCUCAACUACUAGAGAUGAGGUUGACUCUGACUGAGGAGAGGAACGCAGUCAUGGUUCCCUCAGCUGGCAGUGGGAUCCCAGGGGCCCCGGCAGAAUGGACGCCGGUUCCUGGGAUGGAAACACACAUUCCCGUUAUAUUCCUUGACUUAAAUGCUGAUGAUUUCAGCUCUCAGGAUAAUCUUGAUGACCCAGAAGCUGGUGGAUGGGAUGCUACCCUGACUGGAGAAGAAGAGGACGAGUUCUUUGAACUGCAGAUUGUCAAACAGCAUGAUGGAGAGGUGAAAGCGGAAGCCUCCUGGGACUCCGCAGUGCACAACUGCCCUCAGCUGAGUAAAGGCACGCCCGCGGAUGAGCGAGUGUUUCUCAUCGUGCGGGUGACGGUCCAGCUCAGCCAUCCAGCCGACAUGCAGUUGGUAUUACGCAAGCGCCUUUGUGUCAGUGUUCACGGCCGGCAGGGUUUUGCUCAGAGUCUCCUAAAAAAGAUGUCACAUCGAAGUUCUAUUCCAGGCUGUGGAGUGACCUUUGAAAUUGUCUCCAAUAUUCCAGAGGAUGCCCAGGGAGUAGAGGAACGAGAAGCAUUAGCAAGAAUGGCAGCUAAUGUUGAAAACACGGCUUCUGCUGACUCGGAGGCAUAUAUUGAGAAAUACCUCAGGAGCGUGCUGGCAGUGGAGAACCUUCUCACGUUAGAUCGACUUCGCCAGGAAGUUGCAGUGAAGGAACAGUUGACAGGAAAAGGGAAGCUGAAUAGGAGGAGUAUUAGCUCUCCAAAUGUGAACAGACUGUCUGGCAGCCGACAGGAUCUUAUUCCAUCCUACAGUCUAGGUAGCAACAAGGGCCGGUGGGAAAGUCAACAGGAUGUAUCGCAAACUGCCGUUUCUAGAGCAACCACUCCGGCUGCCCCAUCUCCCCCUGGUUGUCCCCAAAAUAACCAUUCUCCUGACCCAGGACUCAGUAACCUAGCAGCCUCCUACUUGAGUCCAGUAAGAUCUUUCGUGCCGCAGAUGCCGAAGCUGCUAAAGUCGCUCUUCCCCGUCCGCGACGAGAAAAGGGGCAAACAGCCAUCUCCCCUCACACAUCAGCCCGUGCCUCGAAUCAUGGUGCAGUCAGCCCUCCCAGAUGCCGGCAUGCCCAGGAUGGUGGAGGCUCAGCGAGAGAGCGCGGGGCUGCGCGUGGCCUCCGACGUGCCCGUGGCCUUGCCGGCCGCCCCCUCGCCCAAGACCUACGACGGGCCCCCGAGACCCGCGCCCACCUCCCCGGCCCCCGAGGGCGCGGAUGGGCCGCCCAGCCCCCUGAGCGAGGCGUCCAGCGGCUACUUCUCGCACAGUGUCUCCACUGCCACCCUGUCGGACGCCUGCGGCCCCGGCCUGGAUACCGUGGCAUUGCCCUCUCCUGGCCCCGGCCCGGCCACCCCCGAACCCGAGCCCCCGGCCGCGCCCGUCAUGUCCCGCGCCCCUCCCGGCCCGGCGGAGCGAAUGGCGCAGGGAGACGGCGCGGCCGCGGCCCCUGUCGGGGCUGCAGCGGUGAAGCGGGACGAAGCGGCAGGUCCCCCCGCGCCUGACCGGCGGGGCAGGAGUGACCCUGCCGCCGCCCCCCAGAAGGCGGAGAGCCCCCAGCCCCAGGCGAAGCCGGCCGCUGGCCCAGGGCCCGACGUCUCCAGGCCGCCGGCACCUGCUGACCCUCGGUGCCAGCCGCCCGCUCCGGCCCCUCCCUUCAGGAUCCAGAAGGUGCGGACCUCGGAGCUGAAGUCAUUCACACGCAUGCUUGGCGGGGACCCCGGCGGCCCCUCGGGGAGCGAGGAGGAUCCGCUGGCCUCAGGGGGCCCGGGCGACGGCAGCGCCGGGGCAGAGGCCCCGGGAAAGCUGGAAGUCUCCUCGGAUUCUGAAGAAGCCAGUGAGGUCCCAGAGUGGCUCAGAGAGGGAGAAUAUGUGACCGUGGGCACCACCAAGACGGGCAUCGUGAGAUACGUGGGGCCCACUGACUUCCAGGAGGGCACGUGGGUCGGAGUGGAGCUAGACUUACCUUCAGGUAAGAACGAUGGCUCCAUCGGCGGGAAGCAGUACUUCAAGUGCAACCCCGGCUACGGGCUGCUGGUAAUCGGAGCUUCUGGGCUACCUAGCCGGGAGACCGCUUCUCUGGAACAGGGGUGUCCCAGCUCUCACGCCUCAGCUCCACUGUCCACCUCGACCUGCACGCUGGGCCCCCUGUCAGACGCCGCAGCUGGGGAACAGAGGACUUCUUUCCACUGCUGCAUGGGUGAGUGGACCUCGAAGGUUCUGCAACGAGAUGUUUGGGGGAGGAGGAUUAUGGCUGUGCACACCGGCGGUCCAGUCCCCGCAGGCUGUGAAGCCCGAUAGCAUUUGUUGGGCCCUGCUUGCCCCUGAGGCCAACAUCCUGAGUACGUGGCACCCAGCUGUAGCCCAGCGUGGGCUUGAACCAGUGCCGGGGAGAGAAGCAGCCCUCCCGAGAUGGCCUGCACCGUCCUGCUCACGGUCCAGGAGUCCAGCCCACAGCCGCGAGGACGCAGUCGGCCCAGUGCGCUGGUGGCCCUGCAUCGGUGAAUCACUCCGCCUGCGCCUGCUAUAAAAGUUUAAUAGCUUCAGUGAAUGAUGAAGUGGAAGGAUAAGCGUCACAACUUCAUGCUGGGCUCUUAGUUCCAGUAAAGCAAAAGGAGAGGUUUCCGUGUUCAAAGGAAGCCAGAAAUCAGACUGAGAUUAGACCUGACCUGGAGGGAGUGGGAAGUUACGGAGAGAACAGGUGUCCUGGGACCAGCUCUGCGUGCACACUGGCUGGUGAGUCACGUGCGCCUUCCCCGGGAAGAGCCCACACCUCCCUUCUGAAGUUUCAGUGCCCCCAGCUGCCACCAGAGAUUCCAAAUCGGGAUCAGCUCCUCAGUGGAAAGCACACGUGCCUUCUUCCCUUCCCUUUAAGGGUGGGUUUAUUUGGUGGGGUGAGCGGAGUGGAUAACCAAAACCCCCCACGAGCCGGCUAAUGAAACAAGGUGCCUAUUACAAGGGCCACCAAUCCCCAGUGGUCAACAUGGGGACCCUCUCCCAGGGCCACUCCCAGCGAGGCCUUGCUCCUGGGGCGGUUCCCGCUCUUGGGCUUCAAGGAUGCUUAGGGCACGACUAAGCGGUCGGAAGAGAGAGAAGCGACAGAGCCGGCCCCUGCAGAACCACCUAUUGAGAGGUAAAGAGCUGGAGAAUGGGAGGGAGGCGCAUGGAUUUUUAGUUAGCUGAGUCCUCAGGUCAGCUUAGAGCCCGUGUCCCUGACAACAGUCACUGAGCCGCCAUACCAACCCCAAGGCAGCUCGCCCCUGAGCUGGACUGUGGUUACCAGAAAGUUCUUACGCCGAGCCAGAGAGCCCACGGCGGGGCAGACACUGAUCCAACACUGGCAUUCCAGAGCCUCCAAUCUCCAAAGCACUGGCCCAGCCCCACCGCCUCUCGUGAUUGUGACGGAAGGGACAGUGGACUGAGUUGGAAUGGCUUAGCGAAACUUCCAAACACAGGCACUGAAAAAAUGCUCCAAGAGCUGAAUAGAGAGAGAACAGGAAGAGUGAGCUUUUAAUAUUCUCUGCUUCCGCUUAGUGCAACUACCCCCAAGCAAUGCUAGGAUAUUCGAGUUCCCCUCAGAACUCAGACUGUGACAGCCAAGAUCUUCUAUCCCAGCAAAAGGCAAGACCUUCCCAUUCACCUCCUAGAGGCAGAGAUGGGGACAGGGGACUUGAAACAAGAGGUUUUGCAUCACAGCUGCCAAGCCUCACUGAGUUUCUGUCACCAUGAAUAACAGGAGAAAGGCCAAGGAGGAAGGAUGCCCUGGUGUCUAGAUCAUCACAGUGACACUGGUCCAGUGUCGGCACAGAAAUGAUGGCGGGGCAACAGUGCACCAGGGGGGAAUCAUCCGGCAAUGCCCAAGAGAAAAAGGAACAGGUUAAGUACAGAGAUUUCACUCAGCAGGGCCAGGCAGACAUCCUGUUAAUGUUCUACCAGGAUGAGAAAAGUGACUGGAGAUUUUACUUGACUUCAUUUAGGGGGUACUGCUCAGUAUGGUCUGUGAAUCUUCAAGAAUCAAUGAGACAGUGAAAACACUCAGCACAGUGCUGGGCACACAGGACAAGCUAGCAAGUGUCAGCGGCUACUUCGAGCUUCGAAUGCUUGGGGGCUCAGGAAAAGCCUAUCUAACUCAAGUGUAAGCUCCUGUUUGAAAAACACUUCCUGAUGGUGACGGCAAUGGAAAUAUCAAGCGACCAAGGGAAAAUGUGAAUUCUAGGGAGCUCGUGAAGCAGGAAACAUCAGGUAAGGCCCACACACGACCCUGGCUGGUUGGCAUGUGGGACAGAGUCCUCUGGGGGCCUCAUCAGUGGGUGACUCAGUUUGGGGUUCUGACUGUAGUUUCUGCCAUAGAUGGAGCAGGUUGAAACUGGAUGUGAGCGACAGGUUUCAUGUGACUUAGUCUAAUGGGGAGCAGUAAUCAAAGGCUUCCAUUCUGAAGCUGAAAUAACUCCAAAUCCUUCUCUUUCACUUAGGAGAGGACGCGAACACUAUGUCAUUAUUUUAGUUUACUGAGUUGCUGUUCCAAAUGUUCUCGGGAGCAUUAGUGCUAAAAGGGAACAGGGAAUGGGAGAGCUGCCAUUUUCAAUCACAUAAAGGACGGAAAUCCUUUUAAUUAUGACCAUGCCAAUCUACAUCUUGCUGUUAAAACAGCUAAUUACAUGUCAGGAGGACACUCAGUCAUUCAGAACAAUUGUCGUUAUAUUUUUAUAUAUUCAUUCUGUGCCACCCCCCUCAAUCGCCAUGGUUACAAUUUGAAAGGAUUCAGGCAAACCUUCAUUUGCUCACAGCACACCAACGUGAAUCUGAGAGUUAAUUAUGGCUGUAUAGAGCCAUUUUUAUUUGAGAGAGACAGAGAAUGAAAAUGGAGUCACGGGGGCCGGCGUCCCGAGGUGGUGUGAAGCGCCCGUGGAGCCGUGCACACUCGCCCGCGCCCAGGCCGGCUCACACGCCACUGCUGCCCCCGCACCCACCGGAGGGCACAGCGCUGCCGUCCGGACGGGGGCAAGAUGGCUCCGUAACUGCCCAGGAAAAGGGAUGUCAGGAGGGAAGCGCAAAGGCCCCCCGCAGAGGCGUCCUUCCGCUUGUUGUGCGGGAGCUGCGGCUAAUGAGAGAACGGGUGUGAGACGUGUGUGGGAAACUGCAGGGUGUAAAAAUGCUAGUUAGUUAGAUUUUGCUUGAAUGGAAUGAACCAGAUUUAGUUCUGCUCACUGCCUGGCCCCAGGUGUCACAGGAGGAAUGACAAAAAUGAAGCCCAGGAUAGGCGUACCUGGAAUCCCAAGGCGCCUACCACGUCCUCGAGGUCUUCGGGUGACAAUAAGAAGGGGAUGCAAGAUCCCCGCGUGCAGCCAGAUUUUCCCUCCCCUCCCUCCCAUGUUUAUUCCCCUCUUGAUUUGAAAAGAAAACCAUUGUUACAGGAAACUAGAUUUCUCAAGAUCGUUAGCUUUCCUUUUGCUGCUGUUUCUCAUCCCCACUAAGGAAGAAUAAUGAAGCUGGUAUGGAAACUUCUCAAUUUAUAAGCUUCCAGCGAUUAGUGAGUCAACCAUCGACCCUCUAAGACGGCAAGAGUAGUAGCUUAUCACUUUUAGCCUGUGAGAAUUAAGACCAGCCUUUUGUAUAACCUGUCUGUGAGAGGGGUUUCUGUGACUGGAAAUGGACUUAUGGGCUUGAUGUGUUUAAAAAGCCUUUCCCACCACGUUAGUGCGGCAGUUCUCUUGAGAGCAGUAAGGAAAUCUUUCCUCUUAAGUGAUUAUCAUCUUUUGAAAAGAAGACCCUAUCAUGAAGGCAACCAAAGUACAGAAAAAGAAAGGGCCCCUGCUUUGACAGCACACCACCGUUAGGGCAAUCCUUCCAGGAUAACCUGGGCAUUCACGGUUGCCUCCCGGGGAAAACCUCCCAUUCUCAUUAUGGUGCGAUACCUUUAAACUGGGUAAUUUAGGUAUUACCAGGUAAUGGCAACCAGACAAUAUGGAGAUUAAGAAACAGAAGAGGGUUUCCAGGGCAUGCAGCUCAGUCUGCCAAAUUCAAUAUGGCUAACAACUGAUCCCCCAAUCCUGAGUAAACAUCCUCGUUAUUUAGAGAGCACACAGAAAGGAAUGUCUUACGCAGCUCCUAGCCCUGCCCCGCUGCACCCCCCCACCCCACCCCUGUGCCCCGCAGAGAUACCACCAGCGGGAGCUGGUCAAUGUGCCCAACGUUCACUUGGGAAAUCUUGACAAACAAACGCGGCUCAGUAAAGCUAUAAAUGGAUUUGGCUGGUCUCAACGCAGCCCCAGUGAAUACACUAGUAAAACAUUACUAAUAAUCACAACAACAAAAUGACAAACUCUAUCACCACUCUGACGUAAGAUUUAAAUCACACACGGUGAUUAACACAGAAAACCAACGCACGAGUAGAGGGUCAGGACUAUUGAAUGUAGAGAGCUACUGCGCACAAGGUCAUCAAUAAGAAGAAAAAUUAUUGCCUAAGAAUCUGUUGAGACUCAUUGGGGAAAAAAAUACUCUGGUGGUUCUCUGAACAACAACAGAAAGAGAUAAACAGCAAUUUUAAAAGGCAGAGCCACGAGUUAAAUGGGAAGACUGCUUCUACCCAAACCCUUCUUAAGACCAAAGAGAGAGAAGGACUUGACGUUCACAUUUUAAGGACGGGGGUGGGGUAUCAUUUAUGAAAAAGGGAUUAUUUCCACUGUUGUGGGCAGAGAGAGUAGCUGGUCAGCGGAAUAUGUAGCUGGUCAAAAAGCUGGCCUGCAAGACAGGAAGGGGUGUUUGUGUGAAGAGAUGGACCACACCCACCUAACUCUGCCUACUGCAGAGGAUAAAAAAAUUCCAGCAAGGAGUCAGCUCAAGAUGAGACCUUGGUUUGGAGCCCAGAGGAAAAGAGAAGAGGAGUUGUUCACAGACAGACAGGAUGUGACUGUAGAUUCCUGAUGAAAUGAAAGUCUAUUUACUUACACUUGGUGCCUGAUGGUUGAAAUCCAAGAGGGAAGUGUGUAAAGACAGAGGCCAAACAGGGAGAACGAAAGCAGCUGUAUCACUAGCUCUUCACGAGUCGUCCCUUUUGAGGUAAAGGUGCUGUUCGUCAGCAACUACUGCCAUGAUAAACCUACAGGACGCGGGGGCUGGGUUUGCAUCCUCCCAUACUGAGGGGCUGCUCCCUCCCUCACGUCCUUUUAGGUGAUCACCGCGCCUGAGCUGAAAGGGGUCUUCCUGUUCGAGGAUCUCUCUUUCUGUGAAGGACUGCGAGACGUGGGGGAGAGCCCACCCACCGAACGACAACAUGUGGGAACUCUACAGACUCUGCAGGCGGGAGGAGGCCACCCAAAGUACUGAGACUUGAAGAAAACUGCCUUAAGGGGUGCUCCGGCCUUACAGGCUUUGCUGAAACAAACCACAAUGUCUAUUUGGUACUGACGGGUCCUGGAAGAUCGCAGAUCAGAGUGUACCGUGUAGCCCUCCCUGGCCUUCACCUGCUGUUACGAUUCUCAAGAGAUGGGCAGAAAUGGCAUUAGGAUGGUCCAUCUUUAAAGGGUCCCUUUGUAAGGCUGUGUUUUAAGAAGGCUAGGAAAUUUACCCAUGUGACCAUAGUAUAAUUCAAUGAAAGUGUCUUAAAAGAAUAACAGACAAGUUACCUGAACUGCUUGCAAGGUUUCCCCACCUGACACGUUUAGUCUUCCUCACCUGGGAAGGAGCAGCCCCUGAAAGAGUCCUCGGGGGCCUGAAAAAAGUACAGCAGGAAGUGAGAAAAGAGGACAGAAAAACCGAAAAGCACACAAUGGGAUGCUUUAAGAGCCUGGCUAUUUUCCCUUCAGUAAGAGAGCAGUUUAGGGUUUCUAUUUUAAUACCACCUCUUAAGCCUGAAAAAGCUUAAGAAAAAAAUUUACUCCCCAAAGAUAUUACAGAUUAGACAGUGGCAACUCCAUAUGCCACUGUAAGAACUAAGGUAGCCCGGAGAAGACAGCAGAGUUAAACCUGAUGACAAACAAAAAACCAAUGGUAGAUUUAAAUCGAGGCCCCAAAGAACUAAAUUUUCACUUCUGGAGAAAAAGCAGAAGUUGUAUGUAAGGCAGUAGAUGUUAGAGCAGACUGGCAGUCUUCUUUAAUCAAAGAACUCCGCGUGCAGGGCUCCUUCCUCCAGUUCCUACUGAACCCAAGGCAAUGCUGCCCCGCACUGGCAGACACAUUCUUUCACUUUUCCCAGAUUUCCAGGUAAGCACCUGGUACUGCCUUCAUGGAUACUCUCCUUUACUCUUUGAAGCUUUCUUUCCUUCCUUAAAGGUCUUAAAUCAAUGAAACCUUUUAGCUCUUCUCUGGCAAUCACCCUGUUUCUUUAGAAACUGCGGGUGCCUUUAUAGUUUGAGUCUGUUUCUUUAAAAGGACCAGCAAGAACAAAUGAUACUAGCAAUCCCAUCUUAAAGAAGCUAUCAAUUAUAAUAAUCUCCUUACAAUAAAUCAUGGAUGUGGCUUGUCAGUAUAUUUUUCUCUCUCCUUUUCUUUCUGAUUCAACUGAAAAUAAGCAGACAAAAUUCCACCGAAAUGGAAAGAUAUGUUGUAUUUUUUCUAAAUAAUAUCAAAGGAAAGAAAGAUAACACAGUCUUCUAAUAGAAAUAAAAAGUCAAACACACCGAGAAAGAAAAUGAGUGGGGGGAUCGAUCAUUCCUGAGAAUAACAAAUGCUACUCUUGAAUUCGUUGGUUCAAGUAAUAUAGUUAAACAGAAAAGGCUACUCCAUUUUACUUCAAUUCUUGGAAGCUGGAAAAAAAUAUGUACAUUUUCCCCCUGAAAUCCAAGGACAAGAGCAGGCCCAGGCCCUGCCUGUAGCUCUAUAAAGUCACAGACCCACAGAAGGUGGCACCUUCAUGCCUCUCAAAGGCUUCCUCACACUGACAUGAGCAGGAUGAACAGACAGUGGAGGUGCUCUCACCAGCGUGUGCCUUAGGUGGAGUGAGACCAGCUAGAGCUGGCGGAUGUUCAAACUCACUGCUGAGGAAAGGAGAAAUGAAGGCGGCCAGUCGUUCUCUCUCUCAAUGGUUUUAAGUUGAAAACAUUUGGUGGGGGAGGAAGGGUGAAGAGGUAAGGAAAUGGCACCCUCCUUCAAUUUUAGAAUCACUUUCAGGCAAUGGAUAAACACAUGACGCCCUGCUUAGCAGCCAGGCCCAUAUUCCCCUUUAAACGAGGCUUCGUUGUCUGUAGGAAGGAGAGAGGGAACGAGGCAGGAAAUAGAGAGCAGCUGUGCCUCUUUCAGACGCACCCUCCGCUGCUACACUGAAGGCUGUCUCCUCUUACCCACAGUGACAGUGUGUCCUUUAAUCGGGAUGCCAAGAGAUUUUCAUACAAGGCCAGCAGAUGUGAUUUUUCUUGGACGCAUGAAUAGUUCAUCAUUUUGCUACUGGACGACAAGGUGAUCACAGGGUGACUUUAUAACUCAAGUUCACUGUUUGGUAUUUUGAGUUCUCAAAAUGAAAAAAAGAUUUAUCAAAUAUAAAUAUCUUUAAAAAGUAACAAAAGUGCUACAUAUGUGAUCAAGGAAAAAAAUUCCAUUAGUUACUGCCGCUUAAAGUAGAUUAAACUUUACAAAUAUUACCACAUCCAUUAUCAAUAUGGCUUCCAAUUAUUAAAUAAAUUGCCUGUAGCAAUAUAGCUUUUCACACCUCUACAAGGACACAGUAAAGAGAACACCAAAGCAGUCACAUCCUGUUGUAUCUCGCAGACCCACCACAUAAGUGGCAAACGUCCCCUGCUUCUUUUCUGCUCCUAGUUGGGAAAGUAUUUGCGUUUGUGAGAGUCAGUCAGCAUAAUCCCGCUAUAAAGUCCUCUAUCAACCUCUCAUGUUGAGGGGGCUUCAGUUAAUGGAUACAAAGACUGGAAGUUCAUUCACUUACUUUUGACCUUAGCUCCAUCCUCGAAAUGCCUUUUUUUGGUAGCAGGGAAAGGGGACACAGACAGGAGGCAAAGCAGCUUCCAUGACGACCUCCAGCACCUUUCCAGGCCGGCAUGUACCUGUGCCACGUACUGUAUAGUGGUUCUGAGAACUGGACCUAACAUCCAUUAGACCUUCAGCUCAUGUUUUUUCCCAGUGCUCUCAAGCUGGGCUUUGUUUUUUUUAAAUGACUUUUGUUUUUUGUCAUUUUUCUGUUUGUUUGUUUGUUUUAAUCAUGGUCCCAAAGGCAGAGGCAGUAUUUUAUCUACUUAAGUCACACAGCUUGUGAGAGGAAAGGAUGUCUGUGUCAGGCAUGUUAACAUCAACCAAAAUCUGAGAUCGAGUGUUUCCACUGACAUUCUUAGCACAGCACCCAAAGAAGUAUAAUCUAGCCACAGUGUGACUAUUAUGAGGCACGGCUUAUUGCAGCUGGAAAUCAAUUCUUCCCACACUGAGGUGGGGGUUCUAGUGUCCCUUUUACUCUGUGGGUACUCCCCAAAUGGCGUCUGUCCAUCCUGGGCCACACUACCUCAGCUUGCAUCCUACCAGUCUUGGGGAAGGAAAAGGGGUACAGACUAGUGUUACAGGAAUCUAAAGGUACCCAAUACACACAGCCUAAUAUUUGAGAACUGAGGGCUAUCUAAAUACCUGGAAGCACUUUCUUGGAAUGCUAAGACAGAGCAGCAAGAUUUUCUAGCCUCGGGGUCUGGGAGAGGGAAGGUAGGUUGGUUGGUUGGUUGGUUGGUUGGUUGGUUAUUACGUACUGGGAAUUAAUACUGAGAGUAUAUGCAAAGGCUGAGGGCACCAUGCCAUCUUCACAGAACAAGACCCUAACGGCUAACUGACAUACAAGAAACUGCAAGUUAUACUGUAAGAACACAUGUUAAGGACCGAGGAAAGUCUGCUAAGGUGCUACGUCUAAACUAAGUUAACUUCUCGUGUCCAAUCCUCCCUCAUCAGUCGUCAUCCAGGGCCUCUGUCUUGAUUUCGUUGGCUCCUUGUCGGGCCAAUGCCAAGAUAGUGUGGUUGACUGCUGCCAUUUCCACAGCUAAUGAGAUGGGGUCUUGGUGGUCACUAUGGCUAGUGCUGUCGUCCUAGAUGUGCAGAGAUAAGAAACAAAUGUUAUUAGUGCACUGGUAAAAUUCUCUAGCUCACAGAAAGGCAUGCUGCGGGCAAGGGGAGGCAGAACAUUCGUGGGAGAAAACAGAGUUGGGGGCGUCAUGAUAGAAUAGAGGUGAAAUGUAUUUAAGUAGACACUGAAUGGAUAUAGGUCCAGAGACUUCUGGUUGGCAUUUUUAUGAUUCAACAAAUAAAAAGCACUAAAAUGUUUUUUUCUUGCUGAGAAUUUUUUCCUUCUAUCAGAAAGAUUGCUGGGGAUGAUGAUCAAACCUGGACCAUUCCAAGUUUGCAACAAAUACAGCACUAGUUACUGAAGGCCAAACUAGUGAGCUUAAAUUCUGGAUUGGUGCUCUUACAAACAGAUUAUCAGAAUUCAUAGUAUCUCUCUACUCAACUGAGAAAACUAGACAAAAGUACAGACACCAACACCUUUCGGAUAAAAAUGCAUUUUUGUAAAAAACAAACCAAGCCCCCGCCCCCCCCAACCCCAAACUCUCAACUAGAACAGGACAAAAGUGUAACUGCUGGAAAUGGCUUCGUGAGAAAAUGUCGCCUGGCACUCUCCCACUGUAAGGGAGCCGGGCAAGGGAAGUGCAGGUGUCUUACUUGGAGGGAGUGUGAAGCUCGCCCUCCGCAAUGCCGAUGUGUUAAACAAUACAGCUGUGGCGGAAGCUGGCACUGCAGGAUGUUCGUCAGGCGCUGAAGAUGGUGUUUCACACAAGGGGUAAGUUUCUCACCUGUCACAUCUUCAGGGGAGCUCUGCAUCGAAAAGCUUUGGAAAAGGGUGAGUCCCUUUGGGCGAAAAAUAGCAUGGCAUGUGUUGCCCUUAGGGCAUCUGGGAGAAAAAGUGGAAGUGAUCCACCUACACUGGUAGACUAAAAACUAACAGAAAUGUUUCCACUUAGACUCACAGAACAUUCUCUUGAGUGAAACAUCGAGCGCUGACUUGGAGUCCUCAGGGGGAAAUUCUGUGCUCAUUCGCGCAGGCUGGCCUUUAGUUUAAGUAGGGAUCAGCAUGGAACUGCUGGUACCCUGGCAGUGUCUAUGCUCAAGCCGGUAAACAGGGGCUGCAAAGCGGUCGGCAGAAGGCCACAGUGGACUCUAUUAAAAGAGCUGGCCGAGGGGCAAGGUAAAGGUGUACAUCAAAUAGGAAGGAGCAGAUGUUUUCCUGCUGGGGCCUAGGAGAAGAGACCGUACAUUCUCUUCAUAUUCCAAAUGGAAUGAGUUUAAAAUCCUAUAAAAAAUGUAAUGAACUCUGUCAACAGAUAUGUGGGGGGAAAAUUCCCACAUUCUUAGUUACCGAAUUAUACCAUCCAGUGGCUACAAUUAAAUAUAUUUUCCCCCUAAGCAGUGAAGAGUAAGUCAGGGUGAGGUGGGCAGACAUGCAUUUAUGAGAGGGUGUGUGUGUCCAUGUGCCAGAGACUCUGGAGGAACCACUAUCUCGGCACGAGGGUUCCCACGGCAACGGGGCCAAAGUGGGUGGGCCCUUCUACUGUGUGCUGGUCCGAACGUGUCCAGGCAGGGUCACAGCUGCCCGCAGCCCCUAGUGUCUCUCGGACAGUGAGUGUGUGUGUGGUGGACGGUGGAACUUGCUUGUUUGGAUCAGAUCCUCCUCUCUUCUUCUACCUUCUCUGCUUCUCUGCCUCCCUCUGAACUUCUUCCCUCCUCCUCCUCCCCAUUGCGUACUUGCCAAGUAUCCUGUUAUAUGACAAUAAAUCCAUGUGGGUGAAUAACGAUUUCUCACAAAUUCACUUUCAAAUUACACGAAAAUCUAACUAGACACAGGAGCCGAGUGGAGGGACAUUCGCUUGCCUCCCCUCCCCCACCCCAUACAAAACGCACCCACGGAAUUGUCACACAGUCCCACCCACCCUGUAUCCGGCAGCCUCCCCUCCGCUGCUCACCUGCUCUGAGUAGUCAUUUCCGUCGACGUCAUCACUGUUGGAAUGGCCUCCGGGACUCUGUACAUCUAUCCCAUGACUCUCCAGGAUUGCUGCUUCUUCGAAAAAAGCAAAUAGAUCCCUAAAUUAUCUGUUACAUCGCCAUCAUGGUCUAAACACUGAAUUUGUAUUGAGGAAAUUAGAAUGUAAUUAAACAAAAACCUAGACUCCUCUCUAAGUUUUGUUUCUUUUAAAUUGCAGACAGAUGGAACUCGGCGGCACAGAGGUCAGGGGAGGAACACGUUUCCCAUUCUGGAGCCCCUGCUGCUAUGCGUGUACAUUUGAGUGGCUGACUGUUAGGUGCUUCAUAAAUACUUACCAACUAAUUAAACAGCUCUCCUGUCUUGGGGUUCUAUAAAGCACUUGAGAAUUGUAACGAUGAAGGGGAAGGAAGUACGUUUAUAAAUGAAACACAAUUUUAGAAGCUCAAAACCACCCCUCCACCCCAAUCUCAUCAAUUCAUGUUUCUUAAAUGCUCUCUCUUUAAAAAAAAAAAUAAAUAUCUCGCCUUUUACUAGGUUCCUUGUAUAUUAAGACUCUUUUAUUCCAAUUUUAUUAAUCACAUGUUUCUUAACAUCUAGGUCAUAUAGCUCAGUAGUAAUGAAGACGCUAAGGGUAUCACACUCCCUCUCUCAAGCCCUUACAAGUAACUUUAAUAUGCACCCCAGGAGUAACUGAUCAGAGACAUUCUAGAUUCUAGCAUAUUGAGAACAAUGAGUUUCAGAAAUAAUGCCAUUCUUAUUACAAUACAAAUAGUGUAAUUAAUAUUAACUUUGCAUUAUUAAAACUACAAUGAAGAAAAACGUAAGGGCAAGCAAGUCUCAUUAGGCUUAAGAGGUAGGAUCAUUUAGACCUGCAGCUCUAAACGGAAGUCACUCUUAAAAUAAACGCAACGUCCAUAAUUGCCUCAAAAGAGACAGCAGCCUCUCUGAUACAUUACCGAUAUUGGCUCUCCUCUUGAUCUCCUUCCGUCUGUUAGCAAACCAAUUAUAUACUUUCAGGGAGGUAACUCGUUCCAGAUCUGACAGUUUUUUGCCUGUGAAUGCAUGCAAUAAAAUUCAGAUAAUCUAUAUCUCAGACUAGUUUUAAGGGUUACUACUUUUCUUUUUAAAAAUGUUCUUUUGAUUGCAUUUCUUGCCAGAAUAACAGAUGUAGAAGUAAUAUUUUUUAGCAUGAGCUAGUACUAUGUACAGACUCAGUUACUGAAUGAAUAAACAUAUAAAUAAACAUACAAAUAGCAACUAAUAACACAAAAUGCUUGAAUUCAGAAAACCACACAAUAUUAGGGAAUUCCAAUAUUACUACAUUAAAGAAUUCGGUCCACUAGGGGUUCAAAGUUCACAUGAUUGUAUAUGAAGGCUUCAUUUGAUCAGCAUCAUUCUAGAUGAAUAUGUUAUUCUUUAUCAAGUUUCCAGAUAGCUGAAGUUUAUUUACAUCUUUAAGGCCUUAUAUUACCUAGUUUCCUGCUGUCUUAAGACAGAGAAUACUAUCCAUGUUUUCUUGAAGAUUAAGAUCACUAUGACCAGCCAUAACUGUAACUAUGCUGGAACACAUAGCACAAUUCAAACUGUAUUUUAAAUGUAUUAUCUUCUUUGCUGUCACAUGUGACGUUUUAUGGAUAGCACCAUGUUUACCAACAUGGCAACCACCUUGUACCUUUCCCUCCUCCCUUAUUCAGCUUUUAAUCCACACUGGGUGGAGAAACCAGAAAACAGGUUAGGCCCUUGAUGGUAAGGGGGUGAAGUAUUUUCCACGAAGAGUUUGAGUUCCAGCACACCUUUAGGGCUGGGACUUUUUGGCUUGUGUAAAAUAAGGGUACAGGUAUCAUUGUAGCUGAGCUUGUAUGUUUUAGAUUAUUAAAAGUCUGGCUUCUAACUAAGGGGGAGGAUAAAUUAGUAUUUAAUUAUUAUAAAACAGUUACAUUUUUGUGUUGAUAUAUAUAGCCUUUAAGCCAAUCCAAGUAACUGGCCAAAUGGAGAUCAACUGGAUCAUCUUAACUGAGAAUGGUUUCUGGUAAAAAAAAAAAAAAAAAACCCU